GAUGUACUCCCUCUGCCCAGAAAUACUUGUCAUCAAAAUAAAUAAAAGGGGAUGUAUCUAGAUGUAUUUUAGUUCUAGAUCCAUCCCUUUUUGUCCAUUUUAAUGAUAAGUAUUUUCGGACGGAGGAAGUAGUAA
rfam:Triticum urartu cultivar G1812 contig796641, whole genome shotgun sequence.